GACGAACGCUGGCGGCGUGCUUAACACAUGCAAGUCGAACGGAAAGGCCCUGCUUUUGUGGGGUGCUCGAGUGGCGAACGGGUGAGUAACACGUGAGUAACCUGCCCUUGACUUUGGGAUAACUUCAGGAAACUGGGGCUAAUACCGGAUAGGAGCUCCUGCUGCAUGGUGGGGGUUGGAAAGUUUCGGCGGUUGGGGAUGGACUCGCGGCUUAUCAGCUUGUUGGUGUGGUAGUGGCUUACCAAGGCUUUGACGGGUAGCCGGCCUGAGAGGGUGACCGGCCACAUUGGGACUGAGAUACGGCCCAGACUCCUACGGGAGGCAGCAGUGGAGAAUAUUGCACAAUGGGCGGAAGCCAGAUGCAGCAACGCCGCGUGCGGGAUGACGGCCUUCGGGUGGUAAACCGCUUUCGCCGGUGACGAAGCGGGAGUGACGGUAAUGGGUAAAGAAGCAACGGCUAACUACGUG
rnacentral:rRNA from 1 species